UGGGGAAUUGUUCGCAAUGGGCGCAAGCCUGACGACGCAACGCCGCGUGGAGGAUGAAGACCUUCGGGUCGUAAACUCCUUUCGAUCGAGACGAAUGGCCUCCGGGUGAAUAAUCCGGAGGAGUGACGGUACCGAGAGAAGAAGCCCCGGCUAACUCCGUGCCAGCAGCCGCGGUAAUACGGGGGGGGCAAGCGUUGUUCGGAAUUACUGGGCGUAAAGGGCUCGUAGGCGGCCAACUAAGUCAGACGUGAAAUCCCUCGGCUUAACCGGGGAACUGCAUCUGAUACUGGAUGGCUUGAGUUUGGGAGAGGGACGCGGAAUUCCAGGUGUAGCGGUGAAAUGCGUAGAUAUCUGGAGGAACACCGGUGGCGAAGGCGGCGUCCUGGACCAAUACUGACACUGAUGAGCGAAAGCCAGGGGAGCAAACGGG
rnacentral:rRNA from 1 species